rnacentral:lncRNA from 1 species
UUCGUUACGAGCUUGUACACAGGCUUCUAAAGCCACUCGAUUAGCUGCUGCACCAGGUGCAUUUCCCCAAGGAUGUCCUAAAGUUCCUCCACCAAAUUGUAAUACAGAAUCGUCCCCAAAGAUUUCGGUCAGAGCUGGCAUAUGCCAAACAUGAAUACCACCUGAAGCUACCGGUAUAACACCUGGCAUGGAUACCCAGUCCUGAGUGAAAAAGAUACCGCGAGCACGAUCUUUUUCAAUAAAAUCAUCGCGUAAUAAAUCAACAAAACCUAAAGUCAUUUCGCGUUCCCCUUCUAACUUACCUACUACUGUACCAGAGUGGAUAUGAUCUCCCCCAGACAUACGCAAUGCUUUAGCUAAUACACGGAAAUGCAUACCAUGAUUUUUCUGUCUAUCAAUAACUGCAUGCAUUGCACGGUGAAUGUGAAGAAGUAGGCCAUUGGCGCGGCAAUAAUGAGCCAAAGUAGUAUUUGCGGUGAAUCCCCCAGUUAAGUAGUCAUGCAUUACAAUAGGAACCCCUAAUUCUCUUGCAAAUACAGCUCUCUUAAUCAUUUCUUCACAUGUACCCGCAGUCGCAUUCAAGUAAUGCCCCUUGAUUUCACCGGUUUCGGCCUGUGAUUUAUAAAUAGCUUUGGCACAAAAGACAAAACGGUCUCUCCAGCGCAUAAAUGGUUGUGAGUUUACGUUUUCAUCAUCUUUGGUAAAAUCAAGUCCACCAUGUAGACACUCAUAACACGCUCUACCAUAAUUUUUUGCGGAUAAUCCCAAUUUUGGUUUAAUAGUACAUCCCAAUAAAGGACGACCAUACUUGUUCAACUUAUCUCUUUCAACUUGGAUACCAUGAGGCGGGCCUUGGAAUUUUUUUGAAUAAGUAGGGGGAAUUCGUAGAUCCUCCAAACGUAGAGUACAUAGGGCUUUGAAACCAAAUACGUUACCUACAAUGGAAGUAAACAUGUUAGUAACGGAACCCUCUUCAAAUAGGUCUAAUGGAUAAGCUACAUAACAGAUCCAUUGGUUGUCUUCCCCAGCAACAGGCUCGAUGUGAUAGCAUCGUCCUUUGUAACGAUCAAGACUGGUAAGUCCAUCAGUCCAAACAGUUGUCCAUGUACCAGUAGAAGAUUCGGCAGCUACUGCAGCCCCUGCUUCUUCGGGCGGAACCCCAGGCUGAGGACUUACUCGGAAUGCUGCCAAGAUAUCAGUAUCCUUAGUUUCAUACUCUGGGGUGUAGUAAGUCAAUUUAUAAUCUUUAACACCAGCUUGAAAUCCAACACCUGCUUUAGUUUCUGUUUGUGGUGACAUAAGUCCCUCCCUAUAACUCUUGAAUUAAGAAUUCUCACAAUAACAGGGUCUACUCGAUGUUAAUUAGGCGUAAAUGAAACUUUAGAAAAAAUCUCGUAAAACAAAAAAAAGGAUAUUCAAUUAAUAUAAUAUCAACUCAUUAAAGAAAAUUGAGGGCAUGCUUAGGUUAAUGAAUAUGUUUCAUUCAUAUAUAAUGCGUACACCCUGUGUAUGUUCUAUCCUAUAGGAAUUCCACUAUAGGAAUUCGAUAGGAAUUGAGUUGUUGUUAUGGUAAGUUAACACGGUUCGUUAUUAAACCAUGGAUUUGAUUUACCAAAUCCAUAAUUAUUGUAUACUCUUUGAUAGAUAUAGCGCAACCAAAAUUAAUUCCUAAUCCUUAUUUUACAAGUUCUUAAUAGUUCUCUUUUCUUAUUUUGAAUGCAAAUACCUAACUAAAUACUAAUAAAAUUCUUUGUUGACAGCAAUCUAUGCUUCACAGUAGUAUAUAUUUUGUAUAUCGAAGUCCUAGAUAGGAAAGUAGAGUAGGCACAGAUCCUCCACAAAAGGCAAAAUGUAUGUAUAUGAAAAAAAGAUUGAUUGAACUUUCCAACGGACUCAUUCCAUGAGUAAACGAUUGAAUGGGAUUCGCUUGGGCAACGAAAUCAAGUCCUGGUCCCCUUUUCUCUCUUAUUGAAUUAACUAAUUCAUUUCCUUUUUACUUUUGGAUUUUUUUUGAUUUGAUUUGGCAUUAUUCAACAAUAAAAAAAGAAAAAUUUCGACAAAUUCCUUUUUUUAAUUAUGUGAUAAUUAUGAGAACCAAUCCUACUACUUCUCCUCCCGGGGUUUCCACAAUUGAAGAAAAAAGUACAGGUCGUAUCGAUCAAAUUAUUGGACCCGUGCUAGAUGUCACUUUUCCCCCAGGCAAGUUACCUUAUAUUUAUAACGCUUUGGUAGUCCAGAGUAGAGACACUGCCGAUAAGCAAAUUAAUGUGACUUGUGAGGUACAACAAUUAUUAGGAAAUAAUCGAGUUAGAGCUGUAGCUAUGAGUGCUACGGACGGGUUGAUGAGAGGAAUGGAAGUGAUUGACACGGGAGCUCCUCUCAGUGUUCCGGUCGGUGGAGCUACUCUCGAACGAAUUUUCAACGUUCUUGGGGAGCCUGUUGACAAUUUGGGUCCUGUAGAUAGUAGUGCAACGUUCCCUAUUCAUAGAUCUGCGCCUGCCUUUAUCGAGUUAGAUACGAAAUUAUCCAUCUUUGAAACAGGUAUUAAGGUCGUCGAUCUUUUAGCUCCUUAUCGACGUGGAGGAAAAAUAGGACUAUUUGGGGGGGCUGGAGUAGGUAAAACAGUACUGAUCAUGGAAUUAAUCAAUAACAUUGCUAAAGCUCAUGGGGGCGUAUCCGUAUUCGGUGGAGUAGGGGAACGGACUCGUGAAGGAAAUGAUCUUUAUAUGGAAAUGAAGGAAUCCGGAGUAAUUAAUGAAAAAAAUAUUGAGGAAUCAAAGGUAGCUCUAGUCUAUGGCCAAAUGAAUGAACCACCGGGAGCUCGUAUGAGAGUUGGUUUAACUGCCCUAACUAUGGCGGAAUAUUUCCGAGAUGUUAAUAGGCAAGACGUGCUUUUAUUUAUCGAUAAUAUCUUUCGUUUUGUUCAAGCAGGAUCAGAGGUAUCCGCUUUAUUAGGGAGAAUGCCCUCCGCAGUGGGUUAUCAACCUACUCUUAGUACAGAAAUGGGUUCUUUGCAAGAAAGAAUUGCUUCUACUAAAAAGGGAUCUAUAACUUCGAUUCAAGCAGUUUAUGUACCUGCAGACGAUUUGACCGACCCUGCCCCUGCCACAACAUUUGCACAUUUGGAUGCUACUACCGUACUUUCCAGAGGAUUAGCUUCCAAGGGUAUUUAUCCAGCAGUAGAUCCUUUAGAUUCAACCUCGACUAUGUUACAGCCUCGGAUCGUUGGCAACGAACAUUAUGAAACUGCGCAAAGAGUUAAGGAAACUUUACAACGUUACAAAGAACUUCAGGACAUUAUCGCAAUUCUUGGCUUGGAUGAAUUAUCGGAAGAGGAUCGUUUAACUGUAGCAAGAGCAAGAAAAAUUGAGCGUUUCUUAUCACAACCGUUCUUUGUGGCAGAAGUUUUUACUGGUUCUCCAGGAAAGUAUGUUGCUCUUGCAGAAACUAUUAGGGGAUUUCAACUAAUCCUUUCCGGAGAAUUAGACGGCCUACCUGAACAGGCUUUUUAUUUGGUGGGUAAUAUCGAUGAAGCUAGCACGAAAGCUAUAACCUUAGAAGAGGAGAACAAAUCGAAGAAAUGAAAUUAAAUCUUUAUGUACUGACUCCUAAGCGAAUUAUUUGGGAUUGUGAAGUGAAAGAAAUCAUUUUAUCCACUAAUAGUGGCCAAAUUGGCGUAUUACCAAACCACGCCCCCAUUAACACAGCAGUAGAUAUGGGUCCUUUGAGAAUACGCCUCCUCAACGACCAAUGGUUAACAGCGGUUCUGUGGAGCGGUUUUGCGAGAAUAGUUAAUAAUGAGAUCAUCAUUUUAGGAAAUGAUGCGGAACUGGGUAGUGAUAUUGAUCCGGAAGAAGCUCAAAAGGCACUUGAAAUAGCUGAAGCUAACUUGAGUAAAGCUGAGGGUACGAAAGAUUUGGUUGAAGCGAAGCUCGCUCUCAGACGAGCUAGGAUACGAAUCGAGGCUGUCAAUUGGAUUCCCCCAUCCAAUUGAAGACAAUCCAGUGGUUUAUAGUUGAUACAAAGAAAAAGGGAAGAGGGGUAGAAAAAGUUAUUAGAUAGUGAAGCGAAGUAAGUCCAAUGCUAUCUAGUAAUUUUUCUACCUACUUACCUACUAUUGGAUUUGAACCAAUGACUCCCGCCGUAUGAAAGCAAUAAUCUAACCACUGAGUUAAGUAGGCAAUUUAUCACCACAAAGGAAGACCCAUUACUUCGAUCGAUUAUAUAUUGAAUCCCUUUUCUAAGCAAUACCGCUCUGUUAUUGGUCUGUUAUAUACUAAAUACUAAACUAAAUACUAAACAGAUACAGAUCAAAGGGGUAUCCUCUGGCAUUAGAAAAUAUUCAUCUUGACAAGAAAUUAUCUAUAUGUUAAGAUAUCUCUGAUAAGGGCUAUAGCUCAGUUCGGUAGAGCAACUCGUUUACACGUGCGCCAAUGCUUUUCAAAGGAGCUUAUUAUGCAAUGAACAUAAUCGAUCUUAUUGCAAAAUCAAUGUCUUACUUCAUAGAUUCGAGAGAAUAGGAGAACAGUAGCCUGACAAACAGUCGGUUCAGUCCGAUUCAGGUGCCAAUUCAGGUGCCUAAUCAAAUAGAACCCUUAUGGAUUUGCUAGUUGAUAAGGUAAAUAUCCAGCCCACUAAAUGCUAGGCGUAAUGUGGGAGGUUUAUAUUUGAGUGUUUUUCAUGGUCGAUAAAAAAAUCUUUUGAUGUCUUGCUAGUUCAAUGUUUUGACAGAAGCGCGCGGUGUAAUUCCAUUGAUUUUUGGAUUUCGAUCGUACCUAAGAUCCUUUUUUUAUCUGGGUUGCUAACUCAAUGGUAGAGUACUCGGCUUUUAAGUGCGACUAUGAUCUUUUACACAUUUGGAUGAAACAACAAAUUCGUCCAGACUCUUGGUAGAGUCUAGAAGACCACGACUGAUCCUCAAAGGUAAUGAAUGGAAAAAAUAGCAUGUCGUAAUAAAAUCAAUCUUUUUUGAAUGGAAUCCAAAAUUACGAUUUUCUGGGUCUGAUGAAUAAAUGGAUAGAGCCUGGCUCCAAUUCUGGUAAAAUAAAAAGCAACGAGCUGAACUUCCUAAUUGGAAUGAUUCCCCGCUCUAAUUAGACGUUAAAAAUAGAUUAGUGCCGGAUGCGGGGAAAGGUUGGGUUUUCCUAUGAGUGGACCCUUUAUUUUUUCUUUUUUUUAGAAAUCCUAAUUAUUCUUGAUUAUGGAUUGAAUAAGGGAUGUUAUGGAUUGAAUGUGUAAAAGAAGCAGUAUAUUGAUAAAGAGGCUGUAUUCCAAAGUCAAAAGAGCGAUUGGCCUGCAAAAAUAAAAAACUUGUUCUGUUCUUUUUUUUAAUUAGAACAAACAUAAACUAAUUGGGUAGAAAAGGAGCAGAAAAAGAUCUGUGGAUUAGACUCCCUUUCUUUCCAGGGUUUGUAUUAAAAAUGCAACACCCUGUUCUGACCAUAUUGCACUAUGUAUCAUCAUUCGAUAAACCGAGAAAUGCUUCUUCUCUCUGAUUCAAGUAGAAAUACAAAUGGAAAAAUUCGAAGGGUAUUCAGAAAAACAUAAAUCUCGUCAACAAUACUUCGUCUACCCACUUCUCUUUCAUGAAUAUAUUUAUGCAUUUGCCCACGAUUAUGGAUUAAAUGGUUCUGAACCUGUGGAAAUAGUUGUUAGUUGUAAUAACAAGAAAUUUAGUUCACUACUUGUGAAACGUUUAAUUAUUCGAAUGUAUCAGCAGAAUUUUUUGGAUAACUCGGUUAAUCAUCCUAACCAAGAUCGAUUAUUGGAUUACAAAAAUUAUUUUUAUUCUGAGUUUUAUUCUCAGAUUCUAUCUGAAGGGUUUGCGAUCGUUGUGGAAAUCCCAUUCUCGCUACGGGAAUUAUUUUGUCCGAAAGAAAAAGAAAUACCAAAGUUUCAGAAUUUACGCUCUAUUCAUUCAAUAUUUCCCUUUUUAGAAGACAAAUUUUUGCAUUUGGAUUAUCUAUCACAUAUAGAAAUACCCUAUCCUAUCCAUUUGGAAAUCCUGGUUCAACUCCUUCAAUACCGUAUCCAAGAUGUUCCAUCUUUGCAUUUAUUGCGAUUCUUUCUCAACUAUUAUUCGAAUUGGAAUAGUUUUAUUACUUCAAUGAAAUCCAUUUUUUAUUUUCAAAAAGAAAAUAAAAGACUAUUUCGAUUCCUAUAUAACUCUUAUGUAUCAGAAUAUGAAUUUUUUUUGUUGUUUCUUCGUAAACAAUCUUCUUGCUUACCAUUAGCAUCUUCUGGAACUUUUCUGGAACGAAUCCACUUUUCUAGGAAGAUGGAACAUUUUGGGAUAAUGUACCCUGGUUUUUCUCGGAAAACCCUAUGGUUCUUUAUGGAUCCUCUUAUGCAUUAUGUUCGAUAUCAAGGAAAGGCAAUUCUUGCAUCAAAAGGCACUUUUUUUUUGAAGAAGAAAUGGAAAUGCUACCUUAUCAAUUUCUGGCAAUAUUAUUUCUGUUUUUGGACUCAGCCGCGAAGAAUCCAUAUAAACCAAUUAGCAAACUCUUGCUUCGAUUUUAUGGGGUACCUUUCAAGUGUACCAAAAAGUUCUUUGUUAGUAAGGAAUCAAAUGCUGGAGAAUUCAUUUCUAAUAGAUACUCGAAUGAAAAAAUUCGAUACCAUAGUCCCCGCUACUCUCCUCAUAGGAUACUUAUCAAAAGCUCAAUUUUGUACUGGAUCGGGGCAUCCUAUUAGUAAACCCAUUUGGACAGAUUUAUCAGAUUGGGAUAUUCUUGAUCGAUUUGGUCGGAUAUGUAGAAAUCUUUUUCAUUAUCAUAGUGGAUCUUCGAAAAAACGGACUUUGUAUCGACUAAAGUAUAUACUUCGACUUUCAUGCGCUAGAACUUUAGCUCGGAAACAUAAAAGCACGGUACGAACUUUUAUGCAACGAUUGGGUUCGGCAUUUUUAGAAGAAUUUUUGAUGGAAGAAGAGCAAGUUUUUUCUUUGAUGUUCACCAAAACAACUCUUUUUUCUUUCUGUGGAUCACACACUGAGCGUAUUUGGUAUUUUGAUAUUAUACGUAUCAAUGACCUGGUCAACCCUCUUAAUUAAUCAUUAGACGAAAUUAAGAAACAGGAAAGGGUUGAUAAAUGAUCAAGAAAAAACUUUUCUAUUUUUCAUUCUGAAAUGUUCUUUUUAUUAUAAUAAAGAGUAGGUGAAUCAACUUACUAAUUAAAAAAAUUAGUAGAACUUCCUCUUUGGAAUAGAAAUAGGCUAUUUCUACAUAGGGAAAGUCGUGUGCAAUGAAAAAUGCAAGCACGAUUUGGGGAGGGAUUUUUCUCUAUUGUAACAAGGAAGAAUUAUCUACUCCAUCCGACUAGUUCCGGGUUCGAGUCCCGGGCAACCCAUAUAGAAAAGACUCAUCAAAGUUUUUAACUUUGACUCACUUCAUUUACAAAUACAAAAUUAUUGGUUUGGUUAAUUUAGUUAUAUGGAUAGCUAAUCUUUGGGCUGACUUGGUUGACAUUGGUUAAUUAGGCGGAGACAGAGGGAGUGGUUAAUUAGGUGAGGCCACAUAAUGAUUUCUCAAAAUCCUGCAUCGGGUGCUUUUCUUUUAGUAUCCUUUUACACAUUUUUGGGGUUUAGGGUUCAUUAUUUAGAUUAAUAUUGUGUAAUAUACAUCCAUAUAAACAUGUAGAGUUUUUUUUGGCUUUUUUAAACUUCAAAUAUAAUUUUGAACUAUUUGAAAUAAAGUGCUCCAGUACUUUAAAAGUACACUUUCAUCAUGCACCCCUCUUUUCAUCAUAGGUUUAAAAGGGUAUUUAUGUCCAUCCACAUAAAUUAAAACAAUUAAGGAAUUAAUCCUUUGAUUUGUUUGCUCAUUAGCCAUGGUGAGCGGUAGAGCGGCAAAAUCGCCUGGGCGUAUUUGACUCAAUACUCUCAUGGUCUAGGGAACUAGGCAUACAUUCAGUCUCCGUGUUAUUACUUUAGACUUGCAACGAUAACAUCACUAAGUAUAACAAAUAACUUGGGUCAAUUCAAUAUGAUCACUAUUCUAACAUCAUACUCUCAAUGUUGUUCUUGUUUCAGUACGUAAACAAAAAAGCCUACGACCAGGAAAACAUAAUCAUCAUACAACACUUGAGCUAGUCCUAGAGGCAAGACUAGGAAUCAAGUUUUACCAUUUAUUCUUCUACACGUGCUUACGAGUUUUCCUCUAAACCAGAUAUUCAAGAAUCAUAAGAGUUAUAGCAUAGAAUAUAAACGCUUAAUUAUAAACCUGGAAAUAAGUAAUACAAAUGAUUUCGGUUCAUUGGGAGGUUCUGCCCAAACGCAUGUGACGAUUGACCAAUCUUGCACCGAGCAAACCGAAGUUUAUGCCAUGUUCCUUUCGGCCCGGACGUAAAGAAAGGGCCCGUUGUGUACAGUACAGUAUAGCCCACUAGGCUCAUCCGCCUCGUCUCCAUCUUUCUCCCCUCACUCCCGAGUCCAAGAUCCCCAAUUUUGCCAUGGCGGCGGCGUAGGGACAGCCGCAGACAUUUUUGCGCCUCCUCCGAAUUAGCAGCCUUCUUCUCCCUACCACCAUUGCUGCAUAUGAGCACAAGCGCCCACCGUCUCUCUGUCUCCUCCCUCGUACUGCAGUAAUCCCAAACCAAAGAAAAUGGUUGGAGGGCGCUGCACGGACGCCUUCGCCAAGCCGAAGCAUCCGCGCCCUGCAGGUGGCGACGACGGAAGCAACGGCGGUGAUGCGGGUGGGGGAGGCGGCAUCGGGCAUGCCGGCGACCGUCUGAGCGCGCUGCCGGACGACCUCCUCCACGCCAUCAUGUCGCGCCUCAAGGCCCUGCAGAUGGUGCGGACCUGCAUGCUGUCCACGAGGUGGAGGCACCUCUGGCGCGCCGUGCCGUGCCUCGACGUCGACGAGGAGGAGACCGGCGCCUACAACAAUUUCGACAACUUCACCAGCAACCUUCUGCACUGCCAUGACAUCGCGGUCCUGGAGGACUUCCGGCUGCACGCCGCCAGGACUUCUGACCGAUGGGUCCGCCGCGCCGUAGGCCAAGGCGAGGCAUGGCCUUGCCGGCUCAAAAGUUUGCAUCUCUUCAGACUGUCUAAUCUGAAUCUGACAGAUAUAGGGAGCCACAUCAGCUCCCGCUGCUUUGCUCUGGAGGACGUGCAACUUAGAAACUGCAGUUUUGUGCUCACCAGCAAUGCUAAGAUCGUCUCCGCCUCACUCAAGAAAUUGGCUGUCGUUGAUGGCUACUACAUGGUGCAUGACGAUGAGAUUUUUGCGUUGAUUAUAGAGGCUCCUGCUCUUGUUUCUCUAUGCCUGGACGGGGAGCUUGAACACAUUGUUGAUAUGACUGAACCACAUACCGUGCUGUCUCUUGUGGAUGCGUCGAUUCAGCUUCCGAGGGUCGAGAGGCGCGUGAAUCACCAAUUGGGCAUUCUUGGCGCGCUGUCUAAUGUGACAACCUUGCGCUUGUCGCAUUUCGCGGUCAUGGUAUACUCUUCUUCUUCUUGACAUACCCUUUUAUUCAGUUUGCAUCUCCUAUAUCUGCAACAAUUUAAGGAUAAGAAAAUGAUUGCCUGGGUUUCAGCUGUUGUUCUAUGCUACUCGUGAGGAUCUUCCUGUAUUCAAGUUUGAGAACCUGAGAAGCUUGCUGCUAGAUGAGUGUCAUAUCAGCGACGACUUCCUCGGGCUGCAGCAAUACCUGCACAACUCGCGUAACCUGAAGAAACUCACUUUGCGCUGUUGCAAGGUGAUCCUACGUCUUCUUUCAUGAUCUAUUAGCAUAACUCAAUUUUUGUCUGUAAUAUUAAUUCUUUUAUGCUGUUCAACAGGUCUUGGAUUAUAGGCAUAACAAGGAGAUGAGAGAACGCCUGCACAAAUCUUCUGAGGAUCUGGUGGAUUUCAACUGUGAGAACCUUAGGCUUAGUGAAAUCAUAUACAGAGAUGGUGAUACUUCUGUCCACCUACUGGUCAUGUUUUUGGUGGGCAUGCCGACCAAUCUACCAAACAACAAGAUCGAAUUCACUAAAAUUGAUUAGCAGAACUGUUUGUCAAAUACGUCAUGUUGUCUACGGUUUGCUGAUUUUCGCCCAGGGUGCUUGUCUGACCAAUUUGAAUCAUUAGCUUUUCCUUUUACUAGUAGUUCAUCAUCUGCAUUCCAUGUUAUAUAAAUAUAUAUUGCAAGAACCAUGUAAAUAUGCAUUGAAGCAUGUCAUUUCUGUUUGUUUGGCAAUUUAUGGGGAGAAAAAACUGAACAGGGGAUUGAUUACCUCUCUCUUAUUUGACGCAAGGAUGCUCCACUUAAUAAUAUUUGAUGGUUGAGGUAGUUUGAUUUCACCAACUCAUUACUUUUUAAUUAAUACAAAUGUAUUCUUGGUUGAAGUGGAAGUAUCUUGUAUCAGCUAUUCUAGGUGAUUUAAGGUUGUUACCUUUGGGAUGUGGUAUUGACAUUCACAUUUAAGCUCUUCUGCAGAUGUUCUUGCUUACUGUGACUCAAAUGACACAAGCUGUUUCAUCAUCCCUUGUACGUGUACAAGGGACAUCAGUGAUGAAGCAAAAGGCCCUACUACAUAUCUUGCGGUCAUACCUGAUACUGAGACACUGUGUGUGUAGGUUGGUUCCGAUUAACUUUUUCGGACGAGGUGGUACAAAAUAGUAUAUUGGAUGGUUCAGAUGGUUUCUUGAUUGAAGUGGAAGUAUGUUGUAUCGCCUCAUCACGGUGAUUUUAGGCUUAGUCCUUGUGGGAUAUGUUAUCGAUUUUUAAGCUCUAUUUUGCGGCAGUCUUGCUUACUGUGAUCCAAAUGGCGCGAAGGCAGUACUAAACAUCAAAAUUGUUGGCAGCGACGCUAGAUCAGUACCCACUGUCAAUAGAAUGAUGUUAUUCAUGAGUGGAGUAUUGCAUUACUGGGGUGGGUUUGUGCACAAAGAGUUACAGUUGGGUGUUGAUAGCACCACCUGUUUAUUGGAAGUUGAAGCAUGUCAGAAAAUCAAUGUUUCAGUCACACUGAAACAAGGUCUGAUUGGCUGAGAAAAAAGCCAUACAAUAUACAUAUCAUUUACAGCAAAACAAAGGGUUGGUUUGUUAAUAACUGAUCUUGCCAAUGUACCUAUCCUUACUGGACGUAGUCAUGAACUAAUUUCCAUGCCUGCAUCCCUAUGUUGCCAAAAGUUCAGCAUUUCAUUAACAAAGUGUGUCGAUGAUCAGGUUACUUCGACGUUGCUUGGUGGUGGCGCAGUACAAUGCGUACACUGAACGACUACUCUUCUCCAAUCAGAUACAAGCGGUAGGGAGGUUCUUUGACCACCAUGGAUUUGCCAGACAACAACACGUCAGUUUUCCUUCUUUGGUUGGGUCGAGCGAUGAUACCUUUUUUUAGCUCCGAGGCAAAAGCCUCGUUGCCUUGAUUGGUUUGAUGUAACAACGACAAGUCAUAUGCCUUCGCCUACCGAAGACUUGUCUUGGAAUAUUAGGAUGCCUCCAGUGAAAUAUAUUCUUCAUUUGCUGAAUCAGGCAGAUGAUAGUGAGGUGGACUUUUCGGUAAAAUCAUUUUUUUAGAAAAGGAGGAGGACCCCCGGUCUCUGCAUCUGGACGAUGCAUGCAACUACUUUAUUAAUUAUUCAUACAAGACAUUACAAAGUCAUACAACAGUAAGACUAAAGCCACCGUCUAGGCAACAUCUGUCGCUACUCUUAUCCAGUUGAUGAAGGGAUGCUGAUAGUCCGGGCCUAAUUCCAAACAGACCUCGCAGCCAAACCUACCAUCUAAUACCUGAGGUCCCAACCAGGGCGCCUGUCGGGUAUGGGGCACCCACCAGUUCGGCGCACUCCUCAAACAGGACGCCUGCCGGGUAUGAGGCCGCCGCAGCCACCUGCCACCAAUCCAUCUUCAGUGUUGUGCUGCUGCAUCAACCUUGCCCGGUCUAGCUGCCGUCGACAUCACCACGACGCUAGACAACGCCACAUCUCUGCGCGAGUCCAUCUCCUCGCAUCAGACGUCGAGUCUCCAUGGCGCCAUGCCGCCGAGAUCCGCCGCUAGCAAUGUGUAAGCUGAAGCACCGCUCCACUAAAAAAGCCUUCCACUGGUCCCUCGGUCCGUGUACACCUCCACGAAAUGACGCCCCCAAGAGGGAAACGACACCAUAGCGCAGCCGUCAUCCAAUCUACUGAUCUAGGGUUUCCCCCGGAGGUAGCAUAGAGUGGCCUUGAACUUCUCCAUGGUGAUGCCUUUAAGAAGGGAACGACGUAGACAGCGCCGCCACCGCCGACCUUGGCAGCUAACCAAGAGCAGGUUUUCACCCAGAUUUGUUUGAAGAUCCUCCCUCAAGCAUCUCGUGCACGGACUGCCGCCCUCUCUGCCGGGGACUGGACGAAAGGGAUCCAUGCCGCCGCCGCCUGACCGGCCAUGGCACCACCACGGUGCCUACAGCCGGCGCCGUCAGGCCCACCACGGUCGCCUGUAGAUGCACGCCGGAACCGCCAGCCCGCCCAAGCCCGUCUGGGCAAGACAAGAUCGGCGAUCUCGGCCGCCGCCACAGGGGCGACUCCGCUGACGCCGCCGUCACGCAUGCCGUAGGGAUCCCGCCGCUCCUUGCCACCGGAUCUCCGUCGAACGAUACGCCGCCGCCGCACGGAAAGAUCGCCACCACCGCGCGAGGGAUAAGACCCCGCCGCCGCCAUCAUAGGCCAGGCUUCGCCGGUGAGACCUCAGGCGGCGGCUAGACGGAGGAGGCGAGGGGAGGGGGCCUAGGGCCGGCGGCGCGAUCGCCCCCCGUGUCGCCUAGGGUUGGCGACGCCUGGGUGGGGGCGGGGGUGCCUGGCUGAUCAACUGGAGAUUCCAGUGCCCGCGCAAGGAGUGAGAUUGGCACAUUCUGCCUUCUCUGACUGGUUCAACAAAUGAUGCUGUAGUGGUGUUGCUACCUCCAAAUUUGUUGUCUUGGACUCUUGGUGCCGUGAUCCAUAUACUAUGUUUGUUGCUUCUGUUCAGCGGUUUAAACCAAGUAACAAGUAAGAAGAUUAGCAUGUUAUUGUUUAACCGGUCGUGAGAUUUGGCGCUCUUAGUUGGUUUCUAUUCGCAUGUUGUUUUCAGCCUCGACGUCUUAAACUUGGUAUGAAUAAAUUAAAUUGUGUGCAUCGAUAGUGAUCCUUCCAUUCUGUACAAAGCGUAUGCAAGUCGUGAUUUGGUCACAUGAGCUUGUAACUAGUCAGCGACGUAGAAGCCUAUUUCACUUAAGAUUGAAAUAACUCGGUCCUGACCUUCAUCACGAAAUGAGAGGUUCCACUAAAAAAAUAGUUAAAUAAUUGAUUUCUUCUACUUGUCACAUAUUUACAUACACUAGUAGAAUGCCCGUGCGUUGCCACGGGCUUUAAAAAUUAAGAUGCUACCCACGGAGCUGAAGUAAUCGAGAAUAACGCACAUCUCAGCUGACACAUAUCAUACUAUCAGACACAAUAAUACAUUAUUAACAGCUUUAAUAAAAUAUAUGUUAUUGAAGCCUGUUAUUGACAACUUUAAAAAACUACAUAUUAUUGAAACCAAUUGAACGCCAAGAGGGUUGUGAUACCCAUCCAUGGGUGAGUGCAUAAUUCUGGUGGUGGUGGUGAUGUACCUACAUUGUUAUCUGUAUUUCUUUAUCCUUUUAUCGAGGCACGGAACAAUUUUACUAUCUUGCUCUUUUUUAAUUCAAAUACAAACACAAUCAUAGAAAUCUGGAGUUCAAGUCACUGUUCUCAUUCCUCACCCGAUCGAUUUUCUGUGGGGAGCACAUUUGAGCCACCACUGGUUUCUAAUAAUCUUUUAUACAAAUGCACACCCCCUGAUAUCUCAACGUCGCAACCUUCUAGUCAUGGAGAUUACCCAAAGGAAGUUUUUUUUUUUUUUGCCAUUAUCACUUCUUUAUCUGGUAGUAGAUGCCAUAUUUUUACGAAAGUAUGACAUAAUUUUUUAGACACAUACAAUGAUAUUGUUUUCAUUAUGAAUAAUGCAUUUGUACAUAAAGUCGUCCAAGUUUGGUUCCACAUUCGCCGAACAUCCUAUGAAUUUUCGAGAUUCGGUUACACAACCAAGCAUGGCAUGAUGUGAGAAAACCAACAAUGAUGUGUGCUUGAGCAUCUUUCACCAUGAAAAAAGGCAUUUUGGGAGUCUUGAUCAUCACUGAGGGUAAGUUGAUUGAUGCAUUGCGGAACCUUGAGCAUUUUUAGAACCCAGAAACCUGGACAAAGAAUUUGAACUGUAUGGACGAAGAAUUUGAACUGUAUGUACCAAUUUCAUAAGUGAGGCCCUGAUAUUGGCAUGUAUUUGUGGUGGUUCUUCAAGUAUGGCUGCAAUGCAAGUUCUAUUUAUAUGCAAAAAUGUAGUUAGUCCCCUAAAAUAAUUACUCUAUUCACAUGAAUUUGACAAGUUGGAAAAUACCUUGGGCGGUUCUUACGAUAAUGUUUCCAAUGGAAUUGCUAUCAAAAUUGUGUUUCCAAUAUACCUCCUUCACCGCCCUCUUCAUAUUCUUAUGUAGCAAAACUCACUACUUUAUGUUAGCAUAACUUAACUACUAAAGUUGGAUGUAUGGCAUGCACAUAAUUUAGAUAAAAAGCAAAAUAAUCAGUAUUAAAAAAGAGAUCGACAAUAUGCCCUAGAAAGAAAAAUAAUAUGGUAGGCUAACAUGAAUGGAGAAUAAACCUUCCUCUUAGUGCUUUUACCUGUGGGGUCUAUGUCUUUAUUGGGCUUGGCCAAAAUCUCAGUGGUCUAUCUUGACUUGUCAAAUGUACAUGACUUGUGUCAGAUUCAAGAAGCCUUAUUGCCUAUCCACCCUAAUUGUAAACAACUUUAAAUAUUAUUCUGCUUCAUAAGUUCUAGGAGUUUAAAAUGUCAUAGUUCUCAAGAUGCUGAAAUAUAAAUUUCAUAAUAACAACAAGGACUCAAACCCUACCAAGCAAACUUUUUUCUUUGUUCAGAACAACAUCAAUAGUUCCAUGUGAAACACAGUUCAAAAACAUGACACAUUUAUUAUAUAUCCCAGAACAUUAAAAUAAAUUGAUGUGUGUACUCGUAUUUUUUGGGAACAAGAUUAAGCCCCCAUCCAACCAGAUGAGGUACCAACAGUUUUAGUAACAUAUUAACCCACUGGUGUUCUUAAUCCUGAAAAUCUGGCUGUGUACUGGUCCAGAAAAUUACCUAAGAAAUAAUUGCAAGUGAUAGCAGAAACCUGUGCCCAUUUAGAAAUGGCAAGAAAACAUUACAAAGAGGUCAUGAUAUAUAUGAAAAAUGAUUUGUACACUACAACAGAUCACCAUAUACGAAUAAGAUUAGUUGAACGUAAUUCAACACCCAUUAUGAGAUGCUAAGAUUUGAAUCAUUAACUAUGCAAUUUAGUGGGAGUUUGGAGUAUCACAUCUCUCAUGUGCUCCGCAACGAGAACAUUGUACAUACAUAUAGAAAGAAUCAGAUCAAUUUACAAAUAGAAUAAAGAGUGGUCAUGGGAGUUCACAUGUUCGUUGUUCUCAUAACAAACAAAUAUGAUCAGCAGUCCCUUACUAACAAAUCUGAAACCGAGCAUAAAAUCGAGAUCCAGGAGGUUGUUGGACUGUAGGUGAUGACAGUUAAGGCGAAGGGGGAGACGAUGAUGACUCCCUAGGCCUAGAAAUGAUCGUGAAAUUGUAGCUGACAAACUGCACUAAGAUCCUUGAAUUUAUUUUACUUGUCAUCCGUCUACGUACAUGCAAAUAAACUAAUAUGUUGGAUCUGAUCCAUGAUGCAUAAUCAGUGUGAAAGUUUAGUCAAGAAAGAAGAAGAGUGUAUCGUCUGAGAUGUGCACUACUAACGUGGAGGCAUUCGGCAGGCUCAUGUCUCCAUCAGAUAAAGUAUAUGUAAACAUGAAUAGAUGACAAUUUCCAUCGCAAAAUGCCCAUAUCAAAGCGAGCAGUAUAUCAAACUGCUUACUUGCCGCAAAGAUGAGAUGGUCAGCACAUAAAGGUGCUCACAAAUGCUGAUGCCGUACUUACAUCAGAACUCUAGCCUCAAUUUCUCAAACAGAGCUUCUUUCAAAUAGUCAUGUUGCACACAUUUAUAAUCAGAGAAGUUGUAUUGGCCCCUUGAUAUGAGAAAAGGCAAGGACAGCAAGUGCUGCAGAGUACCCUCAACAAGAAGUAACUAUUAUACUGCAAUAAAUAAACCUCUACAAUUGAGUAGAAAGUGACAAAAAAAGGAGCGCUCCAUCUGCCUGACCUUACUUUUUAGAAAUGUCACAAGCUGCUUAUAAAAAGUUUAAACCAACUUACGUGCUAAGAGUACAAAAUAACAUCUACUCCCUCUAUCACAUAAUAUAACAUCUUAUUACAUCAAAUGUAAUAAGAUCUUAUAUUAGGGAACGAAGGGGGUACCAUCUUCCGGGUGUUUGGAUUAUAGAGCUCACCAACAUAGGCAUUCGGCUUUACGGCCAGCACUGAUGAUAGGAACUCCUCCUGUGCUUCAGCUCAAAUCUCUAGUAGCUGAGUUUAGACCCAUCUUGUUACUAAACAACUUCGUGCCACCAACCAAACAUCCCUGCCACAAUCAUGGCCUCAUAUGACACAGUCAUAAUUCACACCCUAGCCUUGAUCGUGCAUGGAGCUGCGAAUUGGAUUUGAUUACUCACAACCAUAGAAAAGAAAGGGAAGACUAAAGAUCAAAUCCACCGGAGCAAACAAUAGAUUCUUCAGCAAAAGGUCGUCCAUGGUUGUCGGAUGGUUUAUAUGCGAGGAAUCAUUGUCGAUGGACAUAAAAAGUCGGGGCAUCGUCUAUGGUGUACGAGAUUGAUUGGACUGACCUUGCGACACCCUCAGGCCUCAGGUAUGGCGAUGUGCCGAUGUCGAUGGCCAGCUCGGAGCCCAUAUCAUGUUACAGCAGCGCCGAGUACCUGGGCACGAUGUCCCGGCGUUGCGGCCGCGAAGGCCGCAGUGACGUCAAACAACUUCUUGAAGCCGGCUGCACCCAGUCGUGGGCUGUCGAACGCAAACACCGUGACCGGCCAUUCUCGGCGAUGUACAACGCAUUCAGGGUGGCCAGCUCCGCCCCGAGGCUGUGCCCCAUUACCAUGAUGCUCACCUCCUCGUCCUUGUACGUAUCCAGCAGUUUCUGCACCUCAGUUAUCAAUGAAUCCUAGCUUUCCCUCCUUCAAGAGGUACCACACUCAAUAGAAAACACGAAGUACAAUAAUAAGUACAAAGAAUCUGUAAUCCAAAUAUAAAUAUGUGACUUGUAAAUAGCAAUGACAAGUGGAUAAAGCAUAUGUGCAAAUUCUAAGACACUAAUAUACUUAUGCUCCAACUCAAAUACUCAAUCAAUGGGACACACAAGAAAUACAUCGACUGUAAUAAAUAAAUGAGCAUUGUUUCUAGACAGCACCAACAAUAUCCCUCUACCUCCCCUUCAAUUUUUAGAUUCUGAAUUAAGUUUGUGGUCUGGAAUUAGAAGCCAUAUAUUCAAAAAUCCUCAGCAAUGAAUCAAGCUAAAUAAUAUGCACCUUUAAUUUGACGUCCGUUCCUCCAUCAUUACGCUUGUUACUCAGUAAGAUUUUAUUAUCUCCAUUAAGGUGAAUGCAACAAACUGUCUGGCACAAAGGUCUCUAAAUUAGAAUGCUGGAAUAAAUCCAUGCAUGAAACUAUUGUCUUAAGACAUUGGCACCGAAUAAACACCAGCACUUAAUCAAGGUGCACACGAAGGCCUCAAGUAGGAAGGAACAAAAGAUAAAGAAGUUUAACCGCGCUAACACAUAAAGAAAAGAUAAUUAUGAGGUGAAAAGAACUGAAAAUCUAAGUAAAUUGUACUGACAGAACCAUCGGCAUGCAUCUUCCAGUUUGUACCACUCAUGACCCCAUGCCGGGAAAAUCCUCCCUCUCUCAUGCGAACCAGACAAAAAUAGUAAAGACAAAAGUUUGACCUUCAUUACAUUAAGUACUAAUUUGACUUUAAUUGUAAAUCUUAGCAAAAAAGGAACUAACCUGGUUGAUUUUUCCUGUUUUUUUUUCGUUAUCGUUUUCGAUAGUAGAACCCGAUCCGUUUUUGGAUUGAAUGGACAAAAGGCACUAACCACACCCUUGUUGAACUUGAGAAAUUGUACAAUUGGACAAAAGCAGAUUAUAGAUUCAUAUAUAAGAGAAAAGGAAGACUCAGUCUAGUUGGAGCUAUAUGCAUUAAUGCAUGGAUGUCCUCCACAGAAUCUUUGCACCUUUUAAUUUAGAGUAUUUUUUCUUUAAGAUGUCAACCAUAAAGUAGACAUGAACUAUAUACACACUCGAUAUUCAUUACAUGAAUUAGAAGUAGAAGCGCUACUUCAGGGCAAAAAAAAGAUAUAGUACAACCGGUUCUUCUAUCUAUAUCUAACCAUGCGUCAUUAAGCUAAAAGUUUGGUUCAUAUCGGUUUCAUCAGAUGACUCAUGAGAUUGCCAUUUGAGGAUAUGUGGUCUGCUGGGAACACCGGCGGCAGCGGUGAAGCGCACGGUAAUAGAAUAGUCCUGUGUGACAUAUGUUUUCUUGCAUUGUCCUGUGUAACAGGUUGAUAUUUCUCUAGGAAUGGUAGUAGAAAGAUUGUGUGGUGCUGAUAUUGAACUUAUAAUAAAAUUGAGUUCUAGAAACAAUUCCCUACAUUGUCUCAUUAGUAAUCACACCAAGAAUACUUAUCCUCCUAUAGAUCUGAGUUGACUCUGUGUUUUGGUGUGCAGAAAUUGGUUACCGGUAGGAAAUAAUAUAACUAAUCGGUAUCUUGAGUUGCAAAGAGAUCACUCAGAAUGGUGCCUGAUAUUAUGCCAUAAAGAACUCACAUUUUUUAUUGUCCCUCAGGAUAUGUACGCACCUUUCUCUGCUGGAUGCAUGCACAAUUCUGAAUUAAGAACAAAUGACAUGUUAAUUAGCUAUCGUACAAAUGCUUUUCCGAGGGAAGUCGAUUAUGCAUUAAAAAAGCACUCUAUGAUGCUGUAUAAAUAAAGUCAUGGACGGGAAAGCAAUUUUUGACCCCGUGAUUUCUCUGUACAUUAGGCAAUGCCAUGAAGUAAUUUUUUUACAAAGAGGGGAGCCCAUCAAUUUCCCUACUGGAUUUUCUGGUGUCCCGUUUUAUAAUAAGUUCUUUGCUGGAAAAAACAUACAAAUAAUUAGUUACUCUAUUUGUCCCGACGUCGUGGACUAUGUCUAUAGUUUAAUUUAAUUUCUAAAUGGAACCGAACGACGAUUUCUAUUUUCUGCAGAUAAAACAUGGUGGCUUUAGACCAACAUAAAUAUGUAUACCUUCAUUUAGGUUUCAGUUCAAAGGUCUCAAUGCUCCAAUUUCUCAUUUUGAAACCUGAAACUGAAAGGAAUUUAACAAAUCAACAUAGCCUUGUGGAACCUUGAUCUUAGUUGCAUUAAGCCAAUCAGAGUAAGAAUGUAGCUUUGUAUCCUAGCUGUGUACAUCUUCUCUAAAAGUAAUAAUAAAGGCUACCAUGUUCAUUCAAGAAUAAAAAUUCCCAUGUCAGGAUAAUCUUUCAGUACAAAAGCUUGGUGCAUUUCCUUUAGACACACUAAAAACCGACUACUGUUAUGAACUUCAGAGAUGAACACUUGAUUCUUAAUUUGGUUUGCCAUAAACUAUAAACCAAAAGAUUUACACAUUAAAGCAGCAGUGGGUAAGCAUAUGCUGGGUUCUAAUAGGAGAGGAGUGCUUAGGAAAGAAAGAAAUCGUAGCCAUAUUCAGAUUCUUCCAUGACUGUUAAAUUUGAAGGAAUAACUUACUGUAUCAAAGACUAUAAUUUCAUACAGAAGACAUAUCAUGUGGAAACAGAAAUAUAUGAGUAUGGCAGGUGGGAACCAUAGAUCACAAGAAACAAAUAUUAGUUUAGUUGCACUCAUAUCAUCAAGGGCAUUGAGAGGUAACCUAACCUUGGAGAUUGCAUUUUGCUUCACCCAGUCCUUAUGACUUCUCAGUCAACCUUCCACAACUCUUCUGCAUGUGCCGCCUGCAAACCGAGGAGAAGACAAUGUUGGGUGGCCAUGUGUUAGAGUGAAGGCGGAUUAGGGAGAAGCAUUGAUAUGAAGAAAGCUCGUGAAACACAAACCUGAUUGCCAUUGUAUCUCAUGAAAAUAUACUUCUGAUGAAAACAAAUAUUUGCCAUCGUUGUACCUGCCUCUCAAACAAAAUAUGAUAUGUUCUAAUGAAAACGAAAGAAGAUGAUAUGCAUACCCCACAGAGGAAAAUCAUCUUGAUUGUAGAAAAAAUAGGGGGGCAACGUAUUCAUCAAAAUGAUACAGUACGAAUUAAGCCUAUAAGAUGAACUGAGUCUGGAACUCUGGAUCCACCAUUACCGAGAGAUCCAUCCAUCCCCAUGACCCGAGUCAUAGACCAGUACUUCUCUCCUUCCGCUCCUCUUUUGCCUGGAUCCAAGCCGCCAAAAAGGGAUCCUGCCAAGGCGGCUGCGGCGUUUACCCGGAUGGACCCGAGUUGGGAUGUCUUGCACUGUGAGUCAGGGAGUCUGCAGGAAGUGGCGGCGGCGACGGGGGUGCAACAAUGCAAUCCUCGUCUCCACGUCGUCACAUCCACGACAUCCUCAAUGCAUGGAGAGGCAGCCCCAUCGGGCGUGUAGGAGCCGACGGCCAGGCACGGAGGCAUCGUCCUCCGCGGGUGGUGUGGUGAUCCGAUCAUGGGCGGCGGCAUAGAGGGCGCUAGGCAUAUCCAUGAGGCGCUGGCGGCGGCCGACGUGGCGACCCCGUGUCCCGAUCAGGCGCCCACGGCCGAGGCCGAGGGUCCCUUCUUGUCGGCCAUGGAUGCCAUGGCGUUCAUGGCCCAUGGCACACGAGCUCCACGCCCGAGCAAUUGCGAUGGGAGAUGGCGGCGGCAUGCUGGAGGGGUGCACCGUGCGAGCGGAAUGGCGGCAGCGGCGUACGAGCGGAAUGGCGGCGGGGCGGAGGAUUCGGCGGCGGCGGUGGCAACGAUCGAUGGGAGUGGGCAAGGAUGGGGAUCGAUGGAGUUUUCUCGCGGCGGCGGCGGAAACGAUAGAUGGGAUCGAUGGGAGUGGGCAACGAAGGAUGGGGUCGAUGGAUUUUUUUUUGUUGGGUGUGGGUUUUUUUGGUGGCUGCGUGCGAUGGGGUGGGGUGGGGGAGGUGACGAAAAAAACCAGUCAAAAAAAAAACCNNNNNNNNNNNNNNNNNNNNNNNNNNNNNNNNNNNNNNNNNNNNNNNNNNNNNNNNNNNNNNNNNNNNNNNNNNNNNNNNNNNNNNNNNNNNNNNNNNNNNNNNNNNNNNNNNNNNNNNNNNNNNNNNNNNNNNNNNNNNNNNNNNNNNNNNNNNNNNNNNNNNNNNNNNNNNNNNNNNNNNNNNNNNNNNNNNNNNNNNNNNNNNNNNNNNNNNNNNNNNNNNNNNNNNNNNNNNNNNNNNNNNNNNNNNNNNNNNNNNNNNNNNNNNNNNNNNNNNNNNNNNNNNNNNNNNNNNNNNNNNNNNNNNNNNNNNNNNNNNNNNNNNNNNNNNNNNNNNNNNNNNNNNNNNNNNNNNNNNNNNNNNNNNNNNNAACCAACUCGUCCAUUAGGAGUAGAGAUUAUAACCGAGCACUCUUCCAGCCCUCUCAGACUAUCAGUACUUUUGUCCGUCGGAUCUGCGUUGGUUGGAGUUUAUGGUAAUCGGAUUAAACUUUGGGCGCAAUGCUUAACGCGACUAAACUGGGCAGCUGCUCUCGCAGCAAAAUUGGAGGCCCGUGGUUAAUUGGGCCCUUGCUCUCACGUGAAGCCCACUCAGACCUCGCGAGGAAACAACCGAACGAGCGAGCCACCCGUCUCCCUUCCCUCGACGCCCCACCCUCCCUUGGCUUCUCUCUCUCUCUCUCUCUCUCUCUCUCUCUCUCUCCAAUCCUAACCGCGGAUCAGCACCGCGGCAGCCCGUGUGCCUUUCAUCUUGGUAGCGUGUACAUCGCCGCCUCCGCCUGGGCGCUCCACUGCUCGCCUUCUCCAUCUCCCCGACGGUCGGCGGCGGUUAUGACAAAGCAGAGGCUGCGGUAAGAUUUACCCUUGGCGGCAUGGGCAGUGAACCGCUAGGUGCGUCGCCUACGCCCCAUGAGUGUUUCCUCAUUCAAGUGCUCCGCCUAUUGCCUGUUGGUUGGCUUUUGCCUCUUCGACCACCAGAUUCGGGUAGCAAAGAGGCUGUAGAGCUGCUCCUCCUAUUGCCCGUACGAUCACCCAAGCACUCUUGGUGGCCGGCCGUCUCCACCUUCACCAGAUACAUAUUACAGGAAAGUUUCUGAGUCGCCACCCUUUGCUCAUUCCCUUGUUGAAUUAUACAUAACCACAUGUCAUUUUGGCAGUCAGAUUUUGUUGCUAUUUUAAAGAGUCGAUCCAGCCAUUUCUCGCUACAUUCUCCAACGUAAUUUCAUCCUGGUAGGAACUAUGUAUGAAACACAAAUCAUUACUACUCAUUUAUUAUUGACAUUUGCAUUAACAGUCCAUCUGUAACUUGUGGCUCUUUUUUUUAAAUCUUGCUUAGCAUCUGGGUCAACAUUUCAUAAUAAAUCUUCUCAUUUCUUAUGCUACAUUCAAAUUAUUGCACAGAGCCGGUCAUGGGAAGAGGAUGAUCUUAAGAGAGAAAUGCUCAAAUACCUCGAUACUUUUAACAGCAAGAACACUUAGUCUUGAAGGGAUUGGUCCGGUCCGGUAUGUUGUCUUAGCCUUGAUGUUUAAUGUUUCCCUACUUUUGUCUUGUCUCUGCAUGUUUACCGUAUCUGCGUUUCAUGCAUUAACUAGCAACUUGCAUUUUUUUGCACAGCUAAAUAACAUAUGAUGAAUCAAAAGAAGCUCCGAAGUGGUGUGCAACAUUUGAGACAACAAUCAAAGAAAAAUGAUUGCUAAAGCAGAUACAGUUCAUGUGAGUGAUCUCAGCAUAAAUAAUAUGCUGCAUUAUUGCUGUCAGGAAGGGAAUAUUGACAUGAUGUUGCAAGGUAGCGACAACCAUCUAACUCUGUUCCCAUAUUGCUUUGAAGUUUACUUCUUAGUACUAUGUAUUCUGAGAGGUUUUUUACGGUACCCUGGUACUCCUUUUCCCUAGACGGAGUACCCGUCAAAUCUAACCAUGAGUUCCAGUGUUUUUUCCCCAUGCAGCUGCCAAAUGCUCUCUUCCAGAAAAAAUCUUAUGCACCAGUUACCCAUUUAGAACCUUCACUGAUUCCAUGGACUCACUUCAUACCAUACACAUUCUAAUACAGCUCCCACCUCCCGCUGAAUACUCUUAAUUCCACUUCUCUGAACUACUCUACUUCGGGGUUUCACUGACGGCAACCAUGGAAAAUUGUACAGUCUAUACCAAAACAACCCAUAUCCGCGUGCUGAAUCCAGUCCCCAAAUUAGUAGUAAUCUAAUUAUUUGGCUAACAGCUUUCACAUAAAGUGCGUGUCAGCUAAUUAUACCUUUGUGGCCAUCCUGGGAGCCUGUGGAUCAACUUGCUCUAAGGAGACCGGUGCGCCGUCGGUAUGUCACUGUCAUUCACUUUAUGAGUGUUCUAUACAGCAUGAACACAGCGACGACAGGAAAAGUUAGAUCUUGGACCUAAUCCAAACCCAAAUCCAAAUCAUGACCGACCAAACUGUCACAGAGGGCAAGAUUAGCACUUGUGGAAGGCUGCAGCAAGAACUCCAUCACCGCUGGAGCCGGGGCACCAUAACCCUAGGGAGAUGGUGGUGCCGCCGCCGAGCCGCUCGCAAUACUACCACACCAGCAAGCGGUCGAGGUAGGAGGCAGUUCGCCCCACCUACCCAUAUUUGCAUUUACUCCAGCGUAAUGAUGUCGUAAGCAGAACUGAUCCACGGAUCAGGAAUCCGCUGACGAUCAGGGUGCCGGAUCUGAAGUCAAUUCGCCACGGCCUGGAACGGACACGUCGUUCAGACCCACCGUCCAGGAGAACUUUUCCAUUUCGUUUUAUAUUCCAUGUGGUCUGCCGGGACCAGCACCGGUCACGUGUGCCUGCUAAAAUGAAUCACAAGAACAUAUUCGGCGGGAUAGAUUCCGAGAGCCUGUGUGCUCGUGAUCAAUUCCUCCGCGUCCAAAAGCUGCAUGCUCUCCUCUCCUAGUAAUAACCGAUCGCUGGCCAUCAGCCAACAAAGGACGGCGGUGUCCGCCAUACAACCCAUCGUCCUUUUCAUUUAUUGAUGACAUGAUGCAACACGUCAUCUUACCACCUCUUCUGUGGAAGUAAUUUGCGUCUAUAAAGUACCAUCAAAUGUGGCUUACUAGGUACUUGCAUAUUCAUCAGCCACAAGCCGAGGAAAGUUCCAGUACCACCCGUCAAAAUGGGGAGGGUUGAGCCCGCAGGUGCCAUCGCCGGCAGCACGAAGGCAUCCUGGCCGGAGGUGGUGGGCUGGCCGGCGCACGAUGCAGCGCUCCAGAUCAGCAAGGACAGGCCUGACGUCUCCAUCUCCUUCUACAUAGGCACGGGACGCUGGCCGCCGAGCCCGUACCCCUCGCGUGUCGUCGUGGUGUCAGACACGGCGACCGGCGUGGUCGUCCAGACGCCCGUCGUCGGUUAGGCCGCAUGCACCCCUUGUGCCUGCACAGGGAUACGUACAGUAGUAUCGUAUUUGCGUUGCUGCAGUUGCACAACAUAUGAAUAAGAUCCAACAUUUGAAAGCAUGUUCCAAUUCGAGGCAAUGGGGUGCAUGAAUAAAAUCCAACAUUUGAAAGCAGGUUUCAUUACGUGGAUGAUACAGUUCUAUGAUUUUCAUAUUUGUCUUCUCUAGCAAUCGUCAUGCAUUAUCAUACAUGUAGCAUAUAUAGGUUCAGUUGUUGCGUCUCUAACAUCAGGUUCAGGUCCACUUGUUGAAGAGAACUUAGAUUGAUUUCUAUUUCCACUAAUUACGUUUGAUUUAUAUAUAGUGUGUGACAUCUGACACCCUCAACUCGAGGUAAAAACAUGUGCGGUGUGGAACUAGGUUGUUUCCGUUCUAUGGUCAACCUAGCUAACGUACUGGCGGCACCUGCGGUGACCCGAUCUACCACCCCUUAACUCCUUCGCCUGCUCCUCCCCUCAUCGCCACCGGAGACCAGCGCCGGGCAAAACCUGUGCGAUGGCGGCCACGGAGGGGCCUCUCGUGGCGAGAAGGUGGUUGGCGGUUCCCAGCAUUUGACGGCGUGUGUAGCAGUGGGCGGAGGAGCCCCGGCGGCGUCCGUCGGAUGGUUGAUGGCGGCGCAGAGUGCUCUACCUUGGCCUGACAGUUCCAGCAUUGUCUGAUCUCUCUCGAGUUGCGUAUUGUGCUGACCAUCAUAGGGUCUUCGCGUGCCAACAGUGGUGAUAUGGCUUUGGUGCUUCAGUUCAGGCUAUAUUGGCCCUGAGCCGACUUGACUGGGGAGCUAUCUCCGACGAGGUGUUGGUCCUUAUGGUGACCACCCCGCCCAGACUAUGAUGGCAUACUCACUGUGAAGUGCGACGACAACCGAAAGGUCUUCGUGAGGGUUCCUCGCUAUGGAUCCGGUGUUUGACUUCGGAAGGGAGAUACAAACUAUGGACGACGGCUUGUCGCGGAGGGAUGGUUGUACAACGGCGAUGGUUGCACAUCGCGUGAAGUUGCUGGGACCACAGAAAGUGAUGGCAACAACACAUAAGUGAUGUUGAUGGUGGUGCUUAUCCAGCACCCAUUCCUGAGCUCCAGGGUGAAAACCUAGGUCUACCACUAUUUGGUUAUACCUGGCAAUGGCAAUAUUUUUACAUCGCAACAUUCUUGAAGGCAUUGCUCGGAUAUGUUCGGUUUGAUUCUUCAGUGUGAAAACCUAGAUUCUGGCCUUGGGUGGUUCGAUCUGUUGACGGCCGCACUUGAGCGUCGCUCCCUUCUUGAAGGCGAUGGUGUUCAAGAAUCUCGUCUGUGUGGCAUCAUGAGAUGGUUGAUGUGGAAAUGGUCCUUGAUGUACUUUGCGAAACAUAGAUCUGAUCGCUUUGUGUAUUUUGUUUUCUCGCCAACGCAUAGCUUUGGUCUUAUUUAACUUUGCUAUUUGCCGGCGUGUUCUGUGUGUGCAUACGUUGGUGUUGACUGUGUGCAUUCUAACUAUGCAGAGGCUGGAUGUGUGCUCAUUAUGUUUGUUUUCUCUUGAGGCUCCAUUUUAAGCCAAUAAAAUACAUCCUUUGUCAAAAACAAAAAAAGCUAAUGUACUGGCCAUAAGAAUGGGGUACCUAUUCGUUCAUAUGACAUUUGGCUGGCCUUGACAUUGCGAGAAGGCAAAACAAACUGGCGUAGAUGUUGUUGUUUGGGAACGUAGCAGAAAUUCAAAAUUUUCUACGCAUCACCAAGAUCAAUCUAUGGAGUAAUCUAGCAACGAGGGGAAGGGGAGUGCAUCUACAUACCCUUGUAGAUCGCGAUGCGGAAGCGUUGCAAGAACGCGGAUGAGGGAGUCGUACUCGUAGCGAUUCAGAUCGCGGUUGAUUCCGAUCUAAGCACCGAACCACGGCGUCUCCGCGUUCAACACACGUGCAGCCCGGUGACGUCUCCCACGCCUUGAUCCAGCAAGGAGAGAGGGAGAGGUUGGGGAAGAC